AUUGAAACAGCAGUUCUCGUACGAUCACCGAAGUUAAGCAACGCCGAGCCUGAUUAGUACCUAGAUGGGUGAACUCUUGGGAAUACCAGGUGCUGUAAU